GAGUUUGAUCUUGGCUCAGAUUGAACGCUGGCGGCAGGCCUAACGCAUGCAAGUCGAGCGGUAGAGAGAAGCUUGCUUCUCUUGAGAGCGGCGGACGGGUGAGUAAUGCCUAGGAAUCUGCCUGGUAGUGGGGGAUAACGCUCGGAAACGGACGCUAAUACCGCAUACGUCCUACGGGAGAAAGCAGGGGACCUUCGGGCCUUGCGCUAUCAGAUGAGCCUAGGUCGGAUUAGCUAGUUGGUGAGGUAAUGGCUCACCAAGGCGACGAUCCGUAACUGGUCUGAGAGGAUGAUCAGUCACACUGGAACUGAGACACGGUCCAGACUCCUACGGGAGGCAGCAGUGGGGAAUAUUGGACAAUGGGCGAAAGCCUGAUCCAGCCAUGCCGCGUGUGUGAAGAAGGUCUUCGGAUUGUAAAGCACUUUAAGUUGGGAGGAAGGGCAGUAAAUUAAUACUUUGCUGUUUUGACGUUACCGACAGAAUAAGCACCGGCUAACUCUGUGCCAGCACG
rnacentral:rRNA from 1 species